rnacentral:misc_RNA from 1 species
CUGUGUUGCUUACCCACGGAAAGGAAUUCGACGGCUUUGGUGUCCCCAUCCGCCUGCGCCCUUUGUGGGCGAGGGGCGGACGCGAGGCGGGCUCCGUGUUUCCCGGCGUGCCGUGUGCUUUGUCGCUCGGCCGUCGCGGCCCAUGGGGUCUCGGCCCGUACUCUUGGAUGCGGAACGUUGUGUGUGCGGGCGCGGUGGGGCAUCGGCCUCCGCCCGUCCGAGCGACACGUACUGUCCCUUGAUGCGAACGACAGCACGUGCCCGACUUAACCGGCCGACUGGGACCCCRUCGCGGGGCUCGGAUCUGYCGAUUAAUGCGGGCGCUGGCGUCAGAUAGGAAUGU